UUAAGGUACUUUCUGAAAUCCGUUUUAAAAAGAUUCUCUUUAUAGUUUUAACUCCAUGUUGUCAACAAAUGUUUGCUUCAUGAAUCGAUUGAAAAUCAAAAUUGGGAUAUUUUUGACAAAUGAAUGAUCCGAAAGAGACAGUGGAAAUCGAAAUCGAUCUGUAAGUUCUGGAAAUCGAAGAUGACAGCCACCAACAUCUUACCUUAUGCGAAUAGCGCCUUCACUAUCUUCCAUAAUCUGACGCCAAAGCAGAAUAUGGGGACUGAUUAACAGACGUAAUCAAAAACAUCAAAGAUAUGGUAGCGCUCUUACGAUUUUGGCUAUUUCAUCUUUAAACUCCGAAUUUUAACGAAUCUUUAGGAAAACUCAUUGGAGAUCCUCUUCUCUUGGAAAUAAAAUGAGAGUAAAAGGCUGAAA
rnacentral:sRNA from 1 species